UAGGUGAAGUCGAGGAAAAAGGGUGACUAUUGAUUGGGAAGAAAUUUUCACAUCUUCAGAAGGUCGUAUUGUAUGAAAAUGUUCUUACACAACCAAAACUGUAUUCCCAGCCUUUAACAUUACUUACAAUCUGAUUAAGCUCUUGUUACAAGCAAGAAGACAAGACGAAAGAACAAGCUUUGCUUAACCGACCAGGUUCCGCUUCUUUUCUCGCCUCUAGCUCUAGACAGUGACUAAUAGGGGAAAAGUCCUGUUCUUGCUUAUAUUUCUAUGAGCAGGAAUGUCGUUUAAGGGUAAAAACUCGUCAAGAUGCUGGUUAAGGACAGCUCGUGGUAGUGGAGUCGACUGAAAGGAGUAUCGUAGAGGGCGUAAACACUAUGGGGUUGUCGGGGUAACGCAACGUUGGCAAGCUGGGAAACAAAUACAAACAUCAAAUAAUAUGGUAAUUUUCAAUGUAAACAAUAAUAUAAAUAUUAAACAAAAACAAACACGAGUUUCGUAAAAAUAAGAAAACGGAGAUAUGGAACCACAAUUUAAUGUAUAUGAGCUACCUCACUAUUGU